rnacentral:lncRNA from 1 species
UUUUUUUGGUAUUGAUUUCGUUUCUUUGUUACAGUAUGCUCCUUUUUUUACAAAUGCUGAAAAUGGCCUUUUUAUGGCCGAAAAAUGACAAAAUCAAAAUAAAAUAAAAAUAAAAAAGGAAAAUUACAGAAAAAUCUCUUAUUCUUUGCUGUCUUUUUCGCUGUUGUUUGCCUUUUGCGUUAUUUGUGUCUGCUGCAGGUAUUCAGCCAGCUAGCGUACGGAGCCAUACGGUGACGUGGCGCUGUACAGUGUGUGUGGCGGUGGCGCACGUGAGAGGGCAGGGGCUGAUGGGGUUUACUUGCUGCGGCGGCUGGGGCUAUUUUAGAAACUGCUAGGGUUUCUACUUUGGGCUAAUUUGGGUUGAGGUUAGGUUAGUGGGU